rnacentral:rRNA from 6 species
GUGAAAUUGAACUCGCUGUGAAGAUGCAGUGUACCCGCGGCAAGACGGAAAGACCCCGUGAACCUUUACUAUAGCUUGACACUGAACAUUGAGCCUUGAUGUGUAGGAUAGGUGGGAGGCUUUGAAGUGUGGACGCCAGUCUGCAUGGAGCCGACCUUGAAAUACCACCCUUUAAUGUUUGAUGUUCUAACGUGGACCCGUAAUCCGGGUUGCGGACAGUGUCUGGUGGGUAGUUUGACUGGGGCGGUCUCCUCCUAAAGAGUAACGGAGGAGCACGAAGGUUGGCUAAUCCUGGUCGGACAUCAGGAGGUUAGUGCAAUGGCAUAAGC